UAGUGGCGGACGGGUGAGUAACACGUGAGAAUCUGGCUCUAGGUCUGGGACAACAGUUAGAAAUGACUGCUAAUACCGGAUGUGCCGGAAGGUGAAAGAUUUAUUGCCUGGAGAUGAGCUCGCGUCUGAUUAGCUAGUUGGUGGGGUAAAGGCUUACCAAGGCGACGAUCAGUAGCUGGUCUGAGAGGAUGAUCAGCCACACUGGGACUGAGACACGGCCCAGACUCCUACGGGAGGCAGCAGUGGGGAAUUUUCCGCAAUGGGCGAAAGCCUGACGGAGCAAUACCGCGUGAGGGAGGAAGGCUCUUGGGUUGUAAACCUCUUUUCUCAAGGAAGAACACAAUGACGGUACUUGAGGAAUAAGCAUCGGCUAACUCCGUGCCAGCAGCCGCGGUAAUACGGAGGAUGCAAGCGUUAUCCGGAAUGAUUGGGCGUAAAGCGUCCGCAGGUGGUAUUGUAAGUCUGCUGUUAAAGCGUGAGGCUCAACCUCAUAAUGGCGGUGGAAACUACAAAACUAGAGUACGUUCGGGGCAGAGGGAAUUCCUGGUGUAGCGGUGAAAUGCGUAGAUAUCAGGAAGAACACCGGUGGCGAAAGCGCUCUGCUAGGCCGUAACUGACACUGAGGGACGAAAGCUAGGGGAGCGAAUGGGAUUAGAUACCCCAGUAGUCCUAGCCGUAAACGAUGGAUACUAGGCGUUGCUUGUAUCGACCCGAGCAGUGCCGUAGCUAACGCGUUAAGUAUCCCGCCUGGGGAGUACGCACGCAAGUGUGAAACUCAAAGGAAUUGA
rnacentral:rRNA from 1 species